CUUUUUGUUGACUGAACAGUGUUAGGAUAAAUCAUCAUGGGGAAGCAGAGGAAAGAAGCUGUAUGCCUCAGAUUUAUUCUAUGCUAACAAAUUAACUAAAAGAGCACAUAAACAUGUUACUGACAACAGCCUGUAGAAACCAUUAAACAAAGAGUCUUCCAAUUAAAAUGAGAAACAAGAAAAACUAUUUCUGGUAAAUAUUCCCUUUCCUUUUAUUGAUGAAUUGAACUUUUACUUGUGAAAAUGGUAUCAAUUUUUUUUUUUUUAAAGGUUUCAAAGAAAGGAGUGAAAAUUGAUUUUUGGCUGCAAAGCUGCUAUAUUAGCAAAGCUUGAAUAAGACUUUGCUGCAUCCAGCAUAAAAUUGCAUGUUCUGAGCUAUCAUGCAAUGCCAAAAAUUUGCCCAAACUAACUGCCAUUGUAGACAACCAUCAUUGCAGAUAUAUAAAACAGAAGCUCACAGUGAUUAAUUUAAAGGUCAGUUUCUGCUUCUGACAGGGUGCCAGCAAGAAGUGAUACCAAAUGUUAUCAACAAAGCUGCAAGUGAGCAACUGUGAUGUGAAGGCCAGUUUCUUGUGACUCUUUGGUAUGCUUACAAUGGACAAGAUGAUUCUAGCUGUUCUUUUUCUAAGGCAGAUCAAUAUGGCUUUACAAGAACUGUGAGGGAAUGUUCAGGAACUGUUGAAUCAUGGCCUAAAUCUCUGAUUGAUCACCUGAGGCAAGCACUGAGUCAGAUGUGGGACCACAGGUGAAGGCAAUUCAGCCUUCUGUGACCAGAAGAGGUGGACCCUGGCUGCACCUCUCCUAGACCUAGACCCUGACUGCUACUGGGGUAGUAUGAUUUUCUGGAGAUUGCUCUCUUUGGAGUUUUUCUGCAUGCUAAGGACCCAGAAAACACAAGCUCAGUGCUAAGCUCAAGAUGACUGAAUGUCUGAGGAAGGUGUACAAGUUAGCCAUGGACCUAAGCAAUCAAUGGGGACUCCAAGCAAUUUACAGCGCACACUAUGCUAAGCACCAUACUGGUUUACAGAAUGACAAGCAUCAACUUUUCACAGAAGAGUGCAAAUUUAUCUUGAUUUGCCUAACUCUGAAGUACUCAAUUACAAGGAAAGCUGCCAUUCUGCACCCUUGGCUGCAUCCUCAUGGACAGUCUGCAGGAAGAAGACAAAGCUACUUUUUUUUGGAUGCUAAUUAUAUACAUAUACACAGACAGAAACUGUCAAUAAAGCAUGAGGAAGAUGUAACAAAUCAAAGAAAGGAAUGUGUCUAGUAUUCCUGUCUCUGCUAUGAGUUUGGAAUGAAAGCAGGAACUAUGUUGUCUGAUAUCCUCUCUGCAAGCCAUCACUGAUUUCUGGUUCAGAGGAAUAUAAUUAAUUGUUUGAGUCUGCCACUUGUUUUAAUUCUGGAUUGUUACCAUCUAAUGCAAUUAGAGAGCUGAUUACAUACUUGCAGAUCUGUCCAUCAGCUUCCUUGAAGUCAGGAAGAACUGUCUGUAUGCCAUUCACUGCACAAUUGCAGACACAGUUUGUUUACCACCUACGUGCUGGUGACAGACUUGGAUCCAAAUAAAUUCCACAUUGACUAUCUGGUAGUGAAUAGAACCAUCUAGCAAAUUCUUCUGUCUAUCUUCUGGUUGAAAUUGAACUGCCUAGGAGUUAAAUAAGAAACUUAGUGCACGAUGUCUUUCCAGAAAAAUAUUAGAGCAUGAAGAUUCAUGAAGUUAUGUUUAGUUAUCAAAAUGAUCAGAGAUAAACAUCAUUCCAUUAUAAACAAGGAAAUUUCUCUACAGAAUAUCUGCUUGGUAUAUACUUUUCCUCCUGUUCGAAAUCAUCACCAGUUAAAUCGAAUAGAAAAGUAUAAAAAAUUAGAUUAAUCUUCCAUACAUUUACUACUGUGCUUAUGGAUAGAGAAAUUCAGUGGUUGAUAAACAUAAUUCUUGAAUGAUAAAAUACCUGAAUGUAUUUUGGGGGGAAAAAUGUGUAGCAAUUUUUUCUUGUGCCUGUAGAAAUAAGUAAAUAAACCAAGGAUUAACUCUCGAAGAUGGUAGAGCUGUGUAUUUGAGCAAAGAGUGAGGCAAUGGGUAUUAAGUAAAUAAUUUUAAUAAGAACCCUGCCUGCAGAAAAAUUGGUAUAGUGCUGUGUAAGUACACCAUCUUUGU